rnacentral:rRNA from 1 species
CGUAGGUGACCUGCGGAAGGAUCAUUAUUGAAAUAAACCUGAUGGGUUGUUGCUGGUUCUCUAGGGAGCAUGUGCACACCUUGUCAUCUUUAUAUCUCCACCUGUGCACUUUUUGUAGACCUUUUCAGGUCUAUGUUGCCUCAUUUUACCCCAAUGUAUGUCAAUAGAAUGUUGUGCCUAUAUAUAAUAUAUACAACUUUCAGCAACGGAUCUCUUGGCUCUCGCAUCGAUGAAGAACGCAGCGAAAUGCGAUAAGUAAUGUGAAUUGCAGAAUUCAGUGAAUCAUCGAAUCUUUGAACGCACCUUGCGCUCCUUGGUAUUCCGAGGAGCAUGCCUGUUUGAGUGUCAUUAAUAUAAUCAACCUUCUCUUGUUUUGAGAAUGGUUUGGAUGUGGGGGAUUUGCUGGCCUCUCUCAAAAGGUUCAGCUCCCCUGAAAUGCAUUAGCAGAACAACCUUUGCUCAUUGGUGUGAUAACUAUCUACGCUUAUGAAUAUGAGGGGCAGUUCAGCUUUCUAACGGUCUUUGGACAAUUCAUCAUUAAUGUGACCUCAAAUCAGGUAGGACUACCCGCUGAACUUAAGCAUAUCAAUAAGCGGAGGAAAAGAAACUAACAAGGAUUCCCCUAGUAACUGCGAGUGAAGCGGGAAAAGCUCAAAUUUAAAAUCUGGCGGUCUUUUGGCUGUCCGA